CAAACUGCUUUAACAAUAUCUUGACUAUUACUGAAAGAAUAGGAGAUGGAAUAAUUGUAUACUGUGUUAUUUCAAGGCUUUUAUACACCAGGCAGAGAGGUGACGAGGAUAACACUGACACUGUAUUCUUAGUUCUGGAAGAUUAAAACAUGGGAUUAGUAUUACAUGGUUGUUUAAGACUUUCAUAGACCCAGGAACAGCCAGCAGUACAGUGUGUUCAAGUGUUGCUGCCAGGCCAACACUGUGUUCUUGAGGGAGAGAAGGGGGAUUAAUUCAAAACAUUUCUGGUGUCUCUUAACCCGGUAGCAGCGACGGGCCAAAUUUGUGCCAUGAUAUAAACCCCCAAAAUAGAUGAUGCAUAAACUGAUUACAAAUGCUUUGAUAUAUAUUAUGAAAUGGUUUGCGUAAGUGAUGAUUUUUCUCGUUUUUCUUAUUAUUAUUAAGAAACCUGAUCCCCGCUGGCUGCUACCGGGUUAACAAUGCAAAUCUGGGACAUUAAGUUAUUGUAUUGUGUUAUUGAAGGCUUUUGUUGACCAGGACAUUUGUGAAGAAGGUGAUGGACUGAGGCUGUUUUGCGAUCUCUUGAGAAUUAAUGGAAGAAUUGGAUACAGAAUUAUUAUACUGUAUGAAUUAUUGAAGGCUUGAGUUAGAUCAGAGAGUGGGAUGAAAAGGGUAAGUUAUCAAACCCUUACUGUGUUAUUGAAGGCUUUUGUAGACCAGGACAUUUGUGAAGAAGGUGAUUUAUUGAAGCCAUUUUGCAAUCUCUUGAGAAUUGAUGGACACAGAAUUAUUUUAUUGUAUGUUAUUGAAGGCUUGAGUUAGAUCAGAGAGAAGGGGGAAAAGGGUAAAUUAUCAAACCAUUAUCAUUACUAACCAUUACUAUCAUGAAACCUUAUUACUGAACAUUAAGAGCCCUUUCACACGGAUUAGCCUUGAUCAGUAUUGCAACAUGGAUCGCGGGACACACAAGAAGAGGAUAGCGCUGUGUUUCAUAAUAGUAGUGUGCACAAAGAGGAAAGAGAAAAGGCAGAAGACAUGGUGCAAAGACUGGCUACACAGAUGAGCAGCUUUAGGGAAUCAUGUGACAAUAUUACGGAAACUUAAACAUGGACUGGAAGUAGAUUUCGUCAACUACAAGAAUGGGUGCAAGACUGGACACAGCGCCUUCACCACAAACCCACCGCCCAGCCCUGACGACCAACAGGGUGAGCCGAGAAAGACUUACUCAUUUGGACGGAGCCUUUAGACGCGGGAUUAUUAUUGUGUGUUAUGGAAAGCCUAUUUUGGACCAGAUAGAGGGAUUAAUAGGGUAAAUUAUUGAAGCAUUAUUUCCUGUUAUAAUUGAGUGUUGGUUAGGUGAUUAGAGACUUAACAGAUUAGAACACAAGAAUUAUUAGUGUGUUAUUGAAAACUCAGACCAGAACAGAAGGAUAUAUGAAACUAUUAUUAUUAUUAUUAUUAUUAUUAUUAUUAUUAUUAUUUGUUAAGUGAUCUCAGACACACGCAGGGCUAGGAAGUGAAGGCUUGUUCUUAGAUGACAUAGACAGCAGUGCAAUGUUAAGUGCUAAUGACCAACACCCCGUUUUCUUUUUAAGUCAGGGAUGAAGAGGGUAACUUAUUUUAAGGGAUUUUUCUGUGUUGUUGAUUUGACGAGGUUUGUUCGUGUGUGUGUGUGUGUGUGUGUGUGUGUGUGUGUGUGUGUGUGUGUUUGUUUCAGUGAGUUGAGAUGGAAGGAAGUUGUCAGUCUUUUUUCUUUAUUUUCUUCCUCUUUUUCUUCUUCUUUCUCUUCUUCUUCCUUCUCUUCCUCCUCCUCCUCCUCCUCUUCCUACUUCCUCUCUUUCUUUGUUUUUCCUCAUUCUUUUUUUUUUUUCUUUUUUUUUUCUUGUCUUCUCUGUUUAUCUCUGUGUGUUUCCUCCUCCUCCUCCUCUUCCUCCUCCUCCUCCUCCUCCUCCUUCUCCAAAGUAAAGAAUAAUAAUAAAAAAAAUCAAUGAGAACUUAAAGAUGAAUUUUUUCUCUAUCUAAUUCUUUUUUCUUUCUUUCUUUCUUCACUCGCUGGAACGGACAUACGAACAAACAAACAAACGACAGCGGACCCCAAACAGACUUACUGACAAACUACUUAAUCUCCCUCACACACACACACACACACACACACACACACACACACACACACACACACACACACACACACAAAUCGUCGUCGUGUAAGUUUUCCACUCGCACAAAUUAAAAAGAUUAAAAAAGCUUGUGUACGCGUGUCCGUGUGUGUGCGUGUCUGUCUGAGUGUGUGUGCGCGUGUGUGCGUUGCCUCUCGACUGCCAUUCACUCGCUCGUCUCCGGUUUUAGAAUGUCCGUCUGUCUGUCUGUCUGUCCGUCUGUCUGUGAACGGAUGAACGGGAACGACAUUGACGGAACAAAAAACAAAAAAAUGAUUCUAUAUAUAAAACUGAAAGAACAAAA